UUGGUCAUUUAGAGGAAGUAAAAGUCGUAACAAGGUUUCCGUAGGUGAGCCUGCGGAAGGAUCAUUACCUAGAGUUUGUGGACUUCGGUCUGCUACCUCUUACCCAUGUCUUUUGAGUACCUUCGUUUCCUCGGCGGGUCCGCCCGCCGGUUGGACAACAUUCAAACCCUUUGCAGUUGCAAUCAGCGUCUGAAAAAACUUAAUAGUUACAACUUUCAACAACGGAUCUCUUGGUUCUGGCAUCGAUGAAGAACGCAGCGAAAUGCGAUAAGUAGUGUGAAUUGCAGAAUUCAGCGAAUCAUCGAAUCUUUGAACGCACAUUGCGCCCCUUGGUAUUCCAUGGGGCAUGCCUGUUCGAGCGUCAUUUGUACCUUCAAGCUCUGCUUGGUGUUGGGUGUUUUGUCUCGCCUCCGCGCGCAGACUCGCCUUAAAACAAUUGGCAGCCGGCGUAUUGAUUUCGGAGCGCAGUACAUCUCGCGCUUUGCACUCAUAACGACGACGUCCAAAAGUACAUUUUUACACUCUUGACCUCGGAUCAGGUAGGGAUACCCGCUGAACUUAAGCAUAUCAAUAAG
rnacentral:rRNA from 1 species